UUUCCGUAGGUGAACCUGCGGAAGGAUCAUUCAUAAUUAAGUGUUUUAUGGCACUUUUUAAAAAUCCAUAUCCACCUUGUGUGCAAUGUUAGAUCUCGUCAAUCUUGCCGUGAUUUUUAUACAUCAACUCAUUAUCUAUCUAAUCUUUCUUAAAAAUAUUAUGAAUACUUAAUUCAAAAUACAACUUUCAACAACGGAUCUCUUGGCUCUC
rnacentral:misc_RNA from 1 species